ACAACUUCUUUACAGUACAACAGCACUCUUGUUUGUGAGAUAUCGACCAAAUAUAUUAAUUCAUAUUAUUAUUACUACAGUAAAUACUACAUUGUACUAUACAGUAGUUAUACAGUACUAAAUAUUUCUGUCACGAUUUCUUCAAUUCUUCCAUCUAGUGAUUAUUAGAGCAAAAAAUAUAUAGUCUGUAGGCACUGCAUGCUUUACAGUAAAUGUGUGCUCUCUUCUGCCAUUUACUACAAGCUCAGCGUGCUAUGCCCAUAAAAUGUGGUGUUUUGAUCAGUCUGAAUUUUCAGCUUAUAAGCAGCUUCACACAUUCACAGGUGUGCAGAAGCAUGUAGCUCAUGCAGACUGUAUUUAAGUCAGUCGGUGGUUUAAUAAUCACGCCAGGACAUAUCACUAUUUUAAUUUUGAUUCAUUGUCUUUUUCAGUGUAAUAGGAGUAACGGCACACACUCAUAAGCGUGUGAGCAUUUGAAAGCAGCCAUCUAUAAGGUACUGCAGAAACACUGGUAUUAAAUCUUUAUUACAUUUUAGUAUCGACUUGGUACUGAAGUACUAGUACUUUUAAAAUAACUAUUAUGUCCUGUACUCAGUCACUAAACAUUUUCUGCAUUUUUAUGUGUUUUUGCCACAAAAGGUCUGACUACGUGAGACUAAAUCCUAGGUAGAUAAGAAAUCAAAGACAAAAGGAAGUUUGUUGGAUUAUUGUUUGCAUUUUUUCCCCCACCUGUCUGUCUAGUUGUUUGUUUGUUUGUUUAUCCCAGACAGCUUUUUUCACCUGCCACGAGCAGAUGCUGCUCAUUCCCAGAGUACGAGCUUGAGCGCGCUCCCUGCCGAUCUCAUUAAUGCGCCGUGCGCCAUGCCUCCCAGCGAGCACGCUCCAAGCCGGAGUGCCAUCAGCACAGCCCACAUCUCCCUGUGUGGCAUGUGUUAGUUGUCAUAGGGGGAGGGGUGCGAAUUAGCCUUUGUGCAUGGCACGCAGCUGAGCAAGGUCCAUUUUUGAGCCUCCCACUGGCAAACCCACCACAGCCAAAUCGGAGUGACAACAGAUCUGAGAUCUGCAUGCAGUGGUAACGAGAUGAUGGCCUACUUUGUUUAAUAAUUGUUCAUGAUCUUCACGACACUCGCACCAUUCUCACCUGCCCUUGAUCUGUCUCCAAGGGAUGCCACCAGCAUGUUCCUGGCUCAGGUGAAGUCCCAAGAUACGCAGGAAGAUAUGGAAG